rnacentral:ncRNA from 1 species
GAUUUUUCGAUGAUCAGGAAUAGUAGCUUAAGCGAUUAAUACAAGCGAGUCAGGGAUGGUGUGAGCCUGAUUAUUAUAGCUUUAGCGAAUGGGCCUGUGAGAUGCGAGGUGAAGUGUAGUAGCCGAGCCGGUAAACACCGUUAUAUGUGAUGCACAUGUUAGUGUGCUUAGAGAUAAGACAUAUUGUCUUAAGAAGGGUGGCACCGUGGAAGCAUAGCCUUUCGCCCCUACA